rnacentral:rRNA from 1 species
GACGUAGGAGGCGAGCGUUGUCCGGAUUCAUUGGGCGUAAAGAGCACGCAGGCGGUUUGGCAAGUCGGAUGUGAAAACCCGGAGCUCAACUCCGGACCUGCAUCCGAAACUGCCCGACUAGAGGUAGGUAGGGGAGAUCGGAAUUCCUGGUGUAGCGGUGAAAUGCGCAGAUAUCAGGAGGAACACCGGUGGCGAAGGCGGAUCUCUGGGCCGUACCUGACGCUCAGGUGCGAAAGCGUGGGUAGCAAACAGG